rfam:Atta cephalotes unplaced genomic scaffold scaffold00008, whole genome shotgun sequence.
UUACUCUGGUUUCCCUUCAGAACACGUAUAAAUCUUUCGCCUUUUACUAAAGAUUUCCGUGGAGGGGAACAUUUGAUGAGUCUACUAUAAGAAUUUUUUGUUGUACUCGGCGAAAGCUGAGUC